rnacentral:rRNA from 1 species
UACGGAGAGUUUGAUUCUGGCUCAGGACGAACGCUGGCGGCGUGCUUAACACAUGCAAGUCGAACGGAAAGGCCCUGCUUUUGUGGGGUGCUCGAGUGGCGAACGGGUGAGUAACACGUGAGUAACCUGCCCUUGACUCUGGGAUAACCGCGGGAAACGGCGGCUAAUACCGGAUAUGAGACGUACAGGCAUCUGUUGCGUCUGGAAAGAUUUAUCGGUCAAGGAUGGGCUCGCGGCCUAUCAGCUAGUUGGUGAGGUAACGGCUCACCAAGGCGACGAUACAUAGCCGACCUGAGAGGGUGAUCGGCCACACUGGAACUGAGACACGGCCCAGACUCCUACGGGAGGCAGCAGUGGGGAAUAUUGGACAAUGGGCGAAAGCCUGAUCCAGCCAUGCCGCGUGUGUGAAGAAGGUCUUCGGAUUGUAAAGCACUUUAAGUUGGGAGGAAGGGCAUUAACCUAAUACGUUAGUGUUUUGACGUUACCGACGGAAUAAGCACCGGCUAACUUCGUGCCAGCAGCCGCGGUAAUA